GACGAACGCUGGCGGCGUGCCUAAUACAUGCAAGUAGAACGCUGAAGAGAGGAGCUUGCUCUUCUUGGAUGAGUUGCGAACGGGUGAGUAACGCGUAGGUAACCUGCCUUGUAGCGGGGGAUAACUAUUGGAAACGAUAGCUAAUACCGCAUAACAAUGGGUGACACAUGUCAUUUAUUUGAAAGGGGUAACUGCUCCACUACAAGAUGGACCUGCGUUGUAUUAGCUAGUAGGUGAGGUAACGGCUCACCUAGGCGACGAUACAUAGCCGACCUGAGAGGGUGAUCGGCCACACUGGGACUGAGACACGGCCCAGACUCCUACGGGAGGCAGCAGUAGGGAAUCUUCGGCAAUGGGGGCAACCCUGACCGAGCAACGCCGCGUGAGUGAAGAAGGUUUUCGGAUCGUAAAGCUCUGUUGUAAGUCAAGAACGAGUGUGAGAGUGGAAAGUUCACGCUGUGACGGUAGCUUACCAGAAAGGGACGGCUAACUACGUGC
rnacentral:rRNA from 1 species